AAUGAACGCUGGCGGCAGGCCUAACACAUGCAAGUCGAGGGGGAAGUUACUUUCUGGUGACUGAGACCUGCGUACGGGGGCGUAACGCGUAUACAAUCUGCCUUUCACUGGGCGAUAGCCCUGAUAAAUUUGGAUUAAUACCCCGUAGUAUAUAGUGACGGCAUCUUUUUUAGAUUAAAUCUGAUGUGGUGGAAGAUGAGUAUGCGUUCUAUUAGCUAGUUGGAGAGGUAACGGCUCACCAAGGCGAUGAUAGAUAGGGGAUCUGAGAGGGAUGUCCCCCAUACUGGUACUGGGAUACCGACAAGACGACUACGGGACGCAGCAGUGAGGAACAGUGGACAAUGGUCGGAAGUAUGAUACAGUCAGGCAGAGUGCAGGAUGACGGUGUUACGGAUUGUAAAAAGCUCUUGGAAGGGAAGAAUAAGGGUUACGGGUAGUUUAAUGACGGUACCUUAAGAAUAAGCACCGGCUAACUCCGUG
rnacentral:rRNA from 1 species